rnacentral:rRNA from 1 species
AUGCUCGUCCUCAACAUGGGUCACCCGGCGGCAGCCACAGAAUGCGAAGAUUGUCUGGGCGCCUGUGUUGCAAUUUGCAUCGCCUACGCUGAAACGACGUGCAGUGGCAUCUGCACAGUCAUAACUCCUGCAUGCCAGACAUGUAAGGACGCGGCCAUAAUUGAGUGUGGUGCAACAUGCUAUGGCGGUUGUACCCUAUUCUGCUAA